rnacentral:rRNA from 1 species
GAUUAACGCUGGCGGCGUGCAUAACACAUGCAAGUCGAACGAUGAAACUUAAAUGAUUUCUUCGGAAUGAACUUAAGUGAAUUAGUGGCGGACGGGUGAGUAACGCGUGAGUAACCUGCCUUACACAAGGGGAUAGCCGUUGGAAACGACGAAUAAUACCCUAUGAAACUAUCACUUCGCAUGAAGCGAUAGUCAAAGUGUUAGCGGUGUAAGAUGGACUUGCGUCUGAUUAGCUAGUUGGUGAGAAAAAAGCCCACCACGGCAACGAUCAGUAGCCGGCUUGAGAGAGUGUACGGCAACAUUGGGACUGAGACACGGCCCAGACUCCUACGGGAGGCAGCAGUGGGGAAGUUUGCACACUGGGGGAAACCCUGAUGCAGCGACGCCGCGUGAUUUAGAAGGCCUUCGGGUUGUAAAAAUCUUUUGUAUAGGAAGAAAAUGACAGUACUAUACGAAUAAGGUCCGGCUAAGUACGUG